rnacentral:lncRNA from 1 species
CAACAUGCAAAAAGCAUAACAAAGCCAAGAAGUAUAACCCCAAAAACAAACACACACAAUCACCAAGACUUUUUAGCUAAUAAUGCAAUUGUGAAUCUAGCAUUAGGAAGCCCAAACAAGCUCUAAAACCAAAAUGAUAUACUUUGCCAAUUAUGUUUUGUGAUGUUAAUGCAGAGGUAAUUUAAUACAACAAUAAAGUGUAGAACCUAUUAUGUGAUGUUUUGUUUUGUGUAAUCUCAAGUCAUG